rnacentral:rRNA from 1 species
AAAUCCGCACGGCAUAUGAGGGUGAGACGUGAUGCCGAGCCGUAUCAGGUGAAGUGGAUGAUCCUAUGCUGCCGAGAAAAGCCUCUAGCGAUGUUGUGCGCGGCCCGUACCCUAAGCCGACACAGGUGGUCAGGUAGAGAAUACCAAGGCGAUCGGGUGAACUGUGGUUAAGGAACUCGGCAAAUUGCCCCCGUAACUUAGGGAGAAGGGGGGCCACUGCUGGUGAACGGACUUGCUUCGGGAGCUGGUGGUGGUCGCAGAGAGCAGGGGGAAGCGACUGUUUACUAAAAACACAGGUCCAUGCCAAGUCGUAUACGCUGUAUAUGGACUGACGCCUGCCCGGUGCUGGAACGUUAAAAGGACCUGUUAGCCUCUAGGGGCGAAGCGGAGAAUUGAAGCGCCAGUAAACGGCGGUGGUAACUAUAACCAUCCUAAGGUAGCGAAAUUCCUUGUCGGGUAAGUUCCGACCUGCACGAAUGGCGUAACGACUUCCCCACUGUCUCUACCACAGGCCCGGCGAAAUUGCAGUACGAGUAAAGAUGCUCGUUACGCGCGGCAGACGGAAAGACCCCGGGACCUUCACUAUAGCUUGACAUUGGCAUUUGAAUUUAAUUGUGUAGGAUAGGUGGGAGCCUGUGAAGUGUGGACGCCAGUCCAUGUGGAGGCAAUCUUGAAAUACCACUCUGUUGAAUUUGGGUGUCUAACCACGGACCCUGAUCGGGUUCUGGGACCGUGUCUGGUGGGUAGUUUAACUGGGGCGGUUGCCUCCUAAAAGGUAACGGAGGCGCCCAAAGGUUCCCUCAGCCUGGUUGGCAAUCAGGUGUUGAGUGUAAGUGCACAAGGGAGCUUGACUGUGAGACUGACAGGUCGAGCAGGGACGAAAGUCGGGACUAGUGAUCCGGCACCGGCAUGUGGAAGCGGUGUCGCUCAACGGAUAAAAGGUACCCCGGGGAUAACAGGCUGAUCUUCCCCAAGAGUCCAUAUCGACGGGAUGGUUUGGCACCUCGAUGUCGGCUCGUCGCAUCCUGGGGCUGGAGUAGGUCCCAAGGGUUGGGCUGUUCGCCCAUUGAAGCGGUACGCGAGCUGGGUUUAGAACGUCGUGAGACAGUUCGGUCCCUAUCCGCCGCGCGCGUAGGAAACUUGAGAAGGGCUGUCCCUAGUACGAGAGGACCGGGACGGACGAACCUCUAGUGUGCCAGUUAUCCCGCCAGGGGUACGGCUGGUUAGCCACGUUCGGAAGGGAUAACCGCUGAAAGCAUCUAAGCGGGAAGCCUGCUUCAAGACCACGUUUCCCACCCGUACAGCAAUGUGCGGGGUAAGGCCCCCGGCCAGACCACCGGGUAGACAGGCCAGAUGUGUAAGCCCAGCAAUGGGUUCAGCUGACUGGUACUGAUAGGCCGAAGACUUGAA